AACGAACGCUGGCGGCAUGCCUAACACAUGCCAGUCGAACGAGACCUUCGGGUCUAGUGGCGCACGGGUGCGUAACGCGUGGGAACCUGCCCUUAGGUUCGGAAUAACUCCCCGAAAGGGGUGCUAAUACCGGAUAAUCUCUUCGGACCAAAGAUUUAUCGCCUUUGGAUGGGCCCGCGUUGGAUUAGCUAGUUGGUAGGGUAAAAGCCUACCAAGGCGACGAUCCAUAGCUGGUCUGAGAGGAUGAUCAGCCACACUGGGACUGAGACACGGACCAGAAUCCGACGGGAGGGAGCAGUGUGGAAUAUUGGACGAUGGGCGAAAGCCUGAUCCAGCAAUGCCGCGUGAGUGAUGAAGGCGUUAGGGUUGUAAAGCUCUUUUACCCGGGAUGAUAAUGACAGUACCGGGAGAAUAAGCUCCGGCUAACUACGUG
rnacentral:rRNA from 1 species